UAAAUUAUAGGGUCGCUCUGUCUUGAGCUUCAACACAGACUCCCGCAUCCACCACUCCCCAGAAACUCUUCUCACUGAUGACCCUCCUGCAUCCGGUUCCAAGCUGGCCGUGGUGGCAUGUGCCUGUAAUCCCAGCUACUCGGGAGGCCGACACAGGAGAACUGAUUGAACCGAGGAGGCAGAGGUUGCGGUGAGCCAAGAUCACGCCAUUGCACUCCAGACUGGGCAACAAGAGUGAAACUCCUUCUCAAAAAAACAAAAAUGCACCUAGAAUCUAAUCACUGCUUUCCCACUCAGUGCCUGUUCCCUGGUCCAGCCUCCAGCACAGCUCACCUGAGCCAACACACAGUCACCCCUACCUGGACCCCAGUUCCUGCCCUCACCCCCCACAGGCUGUCUCCCCACCAGCAGCCACCAGAGGGUGCUUUUGAGCACCUGAGUCACUUCCUAUCCCUCCUCUGCUCACAACCCUCCAUGGCUCCCACCUCUCUCAGGGUCAAAGCCCAAGGCCUCCCCAUGUCUCACCAGGUCUGGCAUGACCUGCCCCAUCCCCUCCCUGCCCUCUCCUCUUCCCUUUCUCCCCAUUGCUCACUCUGCUCCUCCUCACUGUUCCUCCAACACACCAGGUGAAGUCCUGCCGCAGGGCCUUUGCACAGGCUGUGCCCUCUGGUGGACCCAGGUAUUUCCAAGGCUCACUCCCUCUCUUCCUUCAAACCUUGGUUCCAAGGUUACCUCCUCAGAGGGCCUUUCCUGCCUGAGCCUGGCUAAGUGGUAGCCAGUCCUACCUGGCCUUGGAACUCACAAACUUGGUACCUAUCAUUUAUACAUGUCCUUCCAGGGCGGCGCAGUGGCUCACGCCUGCAGUCCCAGUACUUUGGGAGGCUGAGGGUGGCAGAUAGCUUGAGGCCUGGAGUUCAAGACCAGCCUAACCAACACACUGAAACCCUGC
rnacentral:lncRNA from 10 species